rnacentral:piRNA from 1 species
CGGGAAGGAAUGGCAUCCGAGAUGCUGGGC